rnacentral:rRNA from 1 species
UACGGAGGGUGCGAGCGUUGUCCGGAAUCAUUGGGCGUAAAGGGCGCGUAGGUGGCCCGGUCAGUCCGUGGUGAAAGCGCGGGGCUCAACCCCGCGUCGGCCAUGGAUACUGCUGGGCUGGAGCACUGUAGAGGCAGGCGGAAUUCCGGGUGUAGCGGUGGAAUGCGUAGAGAUCGGGAGGAACACCCGUGGCGAAGGCGGCCAACUGGCCGGACCUGGACGCUGAGGCGCGAAGGCUAGGGAGCGAACGGG